AGUCUAAAUGUCAGCAGGGCUGGUUCCUUCUGGAAGUUCUGAAGGGAGAACGUUUCCUUGUCUGUCUGAGGCUCUAGUGACUGCCUUUAAUCCUUGGCUUGAAGUUUCUUCUUCCAUCUUCCAAGCAUGUCACGCUAAUCCCUGCUUUCAUCGGAGGUACAGUAUGUGUGUUCCCAAAGACAUCACUUCGUAAACAAGGGUAAAAAAAAGAAACUUUAGAUCCAAGACCAGCUGGCCCACAGAGCUUUGUUCAUCUCUGAGUUGAACAAGAAAACACCCACAAAUUCUGUUUGAAGGACCAGAGAGUUGCCAAGGAAUCGGAGGACAACUCAAGCAGCCAGGACUUGAAGGGCCUGGAGAGAAUGAGUUAUAAAUGGAAAACCAGCACUCAAUCGUCUUCUCACUGUGGCAUUGGCUGAGUUCUUAGGCUAUAAAGAGUGAGAGAGUGGUCAUCCCUAUCAUUCUCUAUGAAAAAGAUUAUAAAUAGACUUCAAUAUAUUUCAAGAUAGUCCUACUUCAGU